CUACAUCUGAUUGGUGUACCUGAAAGUGA
rnacentral:piRNA from 1 species